AUGAGUCUACUCGUGUGGAACUGUCGGGGGGUUGGCAAGCCGGCGACAGUUUGAGAGCUUCGUGACCACACGAGGCAAUUUUCCCCCUCUAUUUUAUGCAUCCUUGAAACUCAAAUAGAGGGUAGUAGAGUUGAAAGUCUAGCUGGUACUUUAGGGUACAAUAAAAGUUACGCUGUUAGUAGCUCUGGUAGGAGUGGAGGCCUUGGAAUAUUCUGGAAUGAUGAAAUAAAUAUUGAAGUUUUGGGUUACUCGAAAUAUCACAUUCAUGUGCUUGCUAAUGAACUUGUGGACUUCCCUGCUCGUUUCACCUUUGUCUAUGGUGAAGCGCAAGUGAAUGAGAGGCACUUGACUUGGGAUAUGCUCCGAAGUAUUGUUGGAGCCAAUGACAUUCCAUGGCAGUCAUCGGAGAUUUUAAUGAAGUACUCCAUGGUUAUGAGCAUGAUGGAGUGGGGAACCGGAGUCAGGCGCAGAUGGACGGAUUCCGUGAUGCCCUUGAUACUUGUGGGCUAA
rnacentral:rRNA from 1 species